CAGGGCUGCAACCCCUCACCCCGGGCAGGACAGACGGGAUCCCCUCACCCCGGGCAGGACAGACGACAUCCCCUCACCCCGGGCAGGACAGACGACAUCCCCUCACCCCGGGCAGGGGCCCUUACCCCGGGCAGAACAAGCGGGAACCCCCUCGGACAGGGCUGCAACCCCUCACCCCGGGCAGGACAGACGGGAUCCCCUCGCCCUGGGCAGUACAAGCGGGAACCCCCUCGGACAGGGCGGGAUCCCCUCACCCCGAGCAGGACAGACGGGAUCCCCUCACCCCGGGCAGGACAGACGGGAUCCCCUCACCCCGGGCAGGACAGACGGGAUCCCCUCACCCCGAGCAGGACAGACGGGAUCCCCUCACCCCGAGCAGGACAGGGCUGCACCCCCUCACCCCGGGCAGGGCACCCUAAAAGCUCCCAGACCCCCGGAGCAGGGCCUGACACAGCUCUCUGUCCCCCUCGGGCAGCCUCCCUUCACAGCCCUCCACCGGCCGCCCCCACCCCAGGCUCUCAGGAUGCUACUUUUGACAUAGAAUCAGUAAAUUCGAAGUCAAAACCUGGCCUUGUCCUCCUAAGUGCAGCAUGCUGAGGCUCUUUGGAGAGAGGAGAACUGACAGAUGCAGAGAUUUGAAGGAGACAGAGGGAAAGUUAUAGCCGGGUUUCCCCUGGAUUUGUGAAUUGGUAUUUUGUUUUGAAAAUCUAGAUAUUUUCACCCUCCUGAAAGCUGCUGCUUUAGGAAAAGCCUUGUUUUCAUCCAAAUGUCUCUAAUAACAAGGCUACAGGUGAGAGGAAAUCUCUGCAUACAAGCAGGGCAACAGGAGCCCCUCUAAGAAGAGAGGAAUGUUUUGUGAACCCAGCCUUGACUUGAGAGGCAGGUCUGCAGGUGGAAGAACUUGUCUUUAUGCGAUAAUUUGUUUCAAAGUUUUCUUUGAAAAGUCUCAGUGAGCCUGUUGCGAGAGAAAGAGAUUGUUUUUACCCUGCAACAAAUUACUCUGGGACUUUCUGUGGUGUGUUUUGAGAUGUUUUUUAAUACAAAUCUUUCCACGGAACUUACUCUUGUACUGGAUUGUAAAGACAACUGAAUAAAUUUAAUACAUUUCAUGACUCAUUUGCCAGCAUUUCUGAGAUACCUGAAUCUACACGCUCCAUUCUUUGCUAUUAAGCAAAAAAUAGAGAGAUUGAGUAACCUACAAGGAAGAUUUAUUUAAGGUUUAAUCCAAGAAAGGGAUCCAAGACAAGGAAGUAAGCAGAGUACUGUUGUUUUAUAAUCCAGGAAGAAAAUAGGGAUCAAGAGCCCAGCCUUGUCAAUGAGUGAAAUUAGUCAAAAGAAGAUUCAAAAGUAGAAGGCCUGGAGUUGUAGAGAAUCACAUGUUCUGCACUGCACCACUGAAAAGUCAAGGCAGAAGCGGGAGAUCAGCUGGCAGCUCUGUUGGUUCAUGGAGCGAGUUAAAAGGCUCAGCAAACAAAACAUAAAAUUAUGUAAAAAUAGAGCCAGCUAGCUUGAGAUUGGACUUUGUCUCUUAAUUAACAGCUCUCUCUGAAUCACAGCACUGGGCUCUGUCAACAAGACUAAAAUGCAGGGGGUGUUCAGACAGGCACCCAGCAACAGUAGCUCACACCUCCCAUCCAGCCCAUGUCAUUGGCAGCUUGAAAUCGAAUGCAUUUUCUGAAAUGAGUUACAAGCCUGCUGCUUGACCUCAGAUCUUCCCGUGACAGUGUUUGUGGUUUCAUAAUCCCAUUUCCCUGGUGGUUUUUUAAAUGUUUUUCUUGCCCUUUUUCACUGGGUGAAAAUGCAGGGUAGGCAGGGGAGAGGACAGGGAGAGGGAGGCGAGGUGGCCACACUGAUACUGCGGGGAGGUUUGUGUAACACCAACAGAAGCUCCUACUCUCACCCACGGAGGAUCCAGCUCCAGGCAGCCUGGCCCUGCUCCUCAGGUGUGUGCACAAGGGCAAUCCCUGGCCAGGGCCACCUGGAGACACCGUGUGGGUGUAGCCACCGCAGGGGAGCUGCAUUUUCCUGUAAAUCCUGGGCUGGGUCUGUGUAGGAAGGGGCUUGUUUAUGUAGCACCUGCUGGAGCUCCACUCCCAGUGUACACGAGGUCUAAAUGAUGUACCUCACCUGGAACUGAAAUUUCUAUUUCUGUAACAACAUUGUUGAAGGGAAGUAGUUGCUCCAUGCAUCCAUUUGUGCUCCAUUUCAAAAUGUUUGUUUGGUCUUUGUGGUUUUGUGUUUUGUUUUGUUAUUCGCGAGAAGUAAACGUUGCACCUCUCACAUCAGCUUCAAAGACAGGACUGCUGGGGCAGGAGAUGGUGAGGGGAUUGAGAGGGAUGGGAGAAAGAAGGAAAUAAAAAAGAAUGAGGAAAAGAUAUAGAGUGUUGUAAUGGCAAGCUGAAGGUCCUGCCACAGGGGCUGAAUGGGCAGCAGGAACUGAAAGAGAAGAAAAACUUCAAAUACUCCAAAGGAAUCUCCAGGUUCAGAUAGCAGCAGGCUGAGGCUCUCUGCAGGCUGAUGUGCUGGGCAGUGGGGACAGCCCCAGGGCAGCCGUGCUGUGCCAGCAGCUGUGUGACUGAGCAGCAGU